GAUGAACGCUGGCGGCGUGCCUAAUACAUGCAAGUCGAGCGAACAGACGAGGAGCUUGCUCCUUCGACGUUAGCGGCGGACGGGUGAGUAACACGUAGGUAACCUACCUAUAAGACUGGGAUAACUUCGGUAAACCGGAGCUAAUACCGGAUAAUAUUUCGAACCGCAUGGUUCGAUAGUGAAAGAUGGCUUUGCUAUCACUUAUAGAUGGACCUGCGCCGUAUUAGCUAGUUGGUAAGGUAACGGCUUACCAAGGCAACGAUACGUAGCCGACCUGAGAGGGUGAUCGGCCACACUGGAACUGAGACACGGUCCAGACUCCUACGGGAGGCAGCAGUAGGGAAUCUUCCGCAAUGGGCGAAAGCCUGACGGAGCAACGCCGCGUGAGUGAUGAAGGUCUUCGGAUCGUAAAACUCUGUUAUUAGGGAAGAACAAACGUGUAAGUAACUGUGCACGUCUUGACGGUACCUAAUCAGAAAGCCACGGCUAACUACGUG
rnacentral:rRNA from 1 species